rnacentral:tRNA from 1 species
GCCCGGUUAGCUUAGUUGGUAGAGCAUCAGACUUCCCAUGUUGAGGGGCAUGGUUUCGAGUCCCAUAUCGGGCU